CGGCGGACCCAGAUCCCCCGCAGGGCAGCCCCUGGUGAGUCAGGGCCUGAGUCAGCGCCCUCCGCCUUCCCAGAGGCCCCGCCAGGACCUGCAGCCCUGGGCGCCCCAGCAGCCCGGCCCUGCUCAGCGCAGCUCUGGGUUGGAACUUGCAUUUUCCUGUAACUCGGACCUCCCCCAGGCCGUCUUCCCAGGCGCCACCGGGCCCAGCAGAUCGUCACCGUCCAGCAGCCAGCGGGCUCCGACUCUCGCUCUUCAGGGAACACCGCCCUUGGCGCCACGCCCACCUCCACCCGCGGCCACCUUCCCUCCCUCCCACCGCCAGACCUUCAAGACAGGAUCUACCCCGGGCGGCCCCCAGCACAGGUCUCAGCCCCCUCCAGACUGGGGUUGUCGCCACCCUCCACUGAAAUGGCGGCAGCCAGCUCCCUCCUGCCGCAGCCGGUGGCAGCCAGCUCCGGGCCUGGCUGGCCCCGCCCACCCUGUGUCUCGAGUGGCACCCACGGCGCUGUUCCUGUCCCGCCUGUCUUCUCGUGACCUCAUCGGGCUCCAGACUCUCACAUGUUUACGCCUUCAGCCCUGCCCAGCCCUGGACCCCAAGUCCCCUCCAAUAUUUCUUUUUCCUUUCUUGUAUUUAUUUAUUUAUUUAUUGAGAGAGUUUCGCUCUUGACGCCCAGGCUGGAGUGCAGUGGCGCGAUCUCGGCUCACCGCAACCUCCGUCUCCCCGGUUCAAGCGAUUCCCCUGCCUCAGCCUCCCAAGUAGCUGGGAUUACAGGCGUGUGCCACCACGCCCGGCUAAUGUUGUAUUUUUAGUAGAGACGGGGUUUCAGCAUGUUGGUCAAGCUGGUCUCUAACUCUUGAUCUCAAGUGAACCACCAGCCUCAGCCUCCCAAAGUGCUGGGAUUACAGGCGUGAGCCACCGCGCCCGGCUAUCCCCUCCAAUAUUUCCGAGGCCAGCUGCCCAGAGAGGAGGGCUGGGUGGAGAGGACCGUGCCAGCAGCAGUAGGCCUGGGCCAGGAGACAGGCACGCACCCCCGCGGUCUCUGGCGAGUCUAUGUCCACACAGCGGCAGGACCUCCACCCCCAGCCACCUGCAGCAGCCCCACAUCUCCACCGGGUCACCCUGCUGACAUCAAGAAUGCCUCCCCCAAUGUCCCAACCCAUGAGGGCUUCUUGGAGCUGAACCAGGGCACCGGCCACUUCUGGAGGGGGGCUGCUCAUGACUUCCGACCUCUGUCUCGCUAGUUGGCAUGAGAAGACUGGACUCCUUCUGCAGGCCUCAGGGCAGAGGCAGAUGUCAGCCCCCAGGGAUGUCACUGCCAGAACCCCAGAUGCCCCAAGUCAUCCGGACUCCCCCUGUGCAGUAUCUCUGCUACAAUAAAAUGUACCCAGAUCUGAGUCCUCUCACCUGGGCGACUGCCAAUGUCCCCUGCGGCCCUAUACCCCGCCCCCAGGAGCUCAGAGGAUCUUUCUUUUUAAAGAUAUUCAGACCUCACAGAUAAGUCUGCCCUGACCAGCCCCUCCCCAGUUCCCAGGCCCUAUCCUGACAACGGCCACAACUUCAGAGCAGCUGAAACCUGCUGUGAGUGAAAAAUGAGAAGCUGUUGUUUUAAUUUUACUUUCUCUGAUUACUAAUGAGGUUAUUUCUUCUCUGCAUAAAAACUUCAUUCGUGUUUAA